rnacentral:rRNA from 1 species
UACGUAGGGACCGAGCGUUGUCCGGAAUCAUUGGGCGUAAAGAGCGUGUAGGCGGCCAGGUAGGUCUGCUGUGAAAACUCGAGGCUCAACCUCGAGACGUCGGCGGAAACCAUCUGGCUAGAGUCCGGAAGAGGAGAGUGGAAUUCCUGGUGUAGCGGUGAAAUGCGCAGAUAUCAGGAAGAACGCCCGUGGCUAAGGCGGUUCUCUAGUACGGUACUGACGCUGAGACGCGAAAGCGUGGGGAGCGAACAGG